rnacentral:ribozyme from 13 species
AAUGAGAAGAAGAAAGAGAGACAACGGAAGAGAGAUCGAAAGGAAAGAAUCGAUCUUGUCUUGCAUCUUUUUCUUUUUCUUCUUGUCCAUCAUUUUUUCUUUU